ACGGAAGGUCGCGACUAGAGAAGGAGAGACGGUUGGAGGAGAAACCCAAGGGUUUUGAAUAUAUCUGAAAAAGUAAAUAAAACUAUUACAAGUUGACUAUUUAUAUCAGACUAGAUUUAACCCUAAUCCUAAAUGGGCCAACAUCCAGAUUGGGCCUUGUAGACUAACUCAAUAUCAAAAUGCUAAGUGUAUAAUUAACUUAAAUAAUCAACUAAUUACUCUUAAUAUAUAAUGUCAAUGUUCAUUUAAAUCAAAUAUCUUAAACAAAAAAAUCGUGACGGUGACUCACCACCUGUGGAUGAUUGUAGAAUGCGAUCUUAAUAAGACUGAACCGUAUUUGAUAUUUCUCCUAAUCUAUCAUUUUUUUUAAAAAGAAAAAUAUCUACCUCUCGGUAACUUUAAUAGUUAAUCUCUCUGUUGAAUUAGUUGAGUCAAUCUCUAUGUUAAUAAUGUAAAUAGAUUUGGGUUGUACCCGAGACCUUCAUCCAGGUUCAAACCCAAUCAUAAUUCAUAACUCUUGAUAUGACGAUAUCAUUUUUAAUUCUUAUAAGAUAUAUAUAUAUAGUUAUAGAGUGCACAUCAGAGGUGGAUUGCACCCCUGCGCACAACCAUUAGUGAGGUAAUUAAUAUACUAGCCUCUACGUUUAGUCAUGUCGUUGGUUGUUUUGUUUAUUUAAGAAACUCGAACCUCAUAUCAAUUUCCACAAUCAAACCAAUAACCAACCUUUACUGCUUCUACCUCUUCCUUCUCAUCCUACAUCUUUCUUCCGCUGCUUCACCUUUGCUCUACUUCAUCGCCUUCAAAACCUGGACGCCCUACAACCCACUGUAAACUCCAUCUACGACCUCCGACUACAGCACCCAACUAACACCCUCUACUAAAACUCCCAACUACAACCCCUCAAUACCACCCCCAACUACAAACCACUGCAGCCCAUGACUUCGUUGUCGUCCUAUUUCUUACCUUUUCAUUGUAAGUCUUUGAACCAUUUUUCUGUUUUUGGGUUUGUUCGGUUUCCCGAUGUUGUUGUAUGAUAGUUCCGGUGUUUCUCUGUCGUUCUUAUGUUCUUCUGAGGUUCCGGUGAUUGUCUGUCUUUCAGGUUUUUUUGUAUCGUUCUUCUGCGGUUUCGGUUUCCUGUGGUGGUGGUCGUUGAUAUGAUCUCUGUGUAAAUGUUCCCCCUGUAUAUUUGUUUUCGCCUUUUCGAUUUUAUCCGUUCAUUCUGCCGGCGUUGAGGAUGACAGAUAGUUAACUGUUACUCUUCGAAAUUAUUAUUUCUCCUCUGUAUCCUUUUUCCUUUUCUGUUAAUGUAGUCGUUCUACUCGUUCCUUUGGUCUAUGUCCGUUUUUUCUUCCUGUUUUCUGUGUGUAUAUUCUCUGUAUCCAUGCGUUGGUUUUCUUAUCUGGUCGUUCUUGUUGUCUUUUUAAAUCUGACCAUGUAUCUUAUCCUUGUCGGUCUUUUAUUUAUUUCUACUUGGUCCUUGAAUAUUAGUUUUGUAUAUAUUCUUUGUUCUCGAAGAUGCUGGACCGACGCUGAAUCUUAUUUUUGAAUUAUAUAUUUUGCGUUCAUGUCGACCGAAGCUUGAUUUUUGUUCAAAAUUUAUAUAUUCCGAUUCUAUAUUCUGUUCUUGGUAAUAUUUUUCCUUCUAGACUAUUUCGCUCUAGUUUAGUCUUUUUCGUCGUCUCGAGAUUUGACAUAGUAAUCAAACCUCUUAGUACGGAUUUUUCUAAUCUAUUUUCCUUUCUUUUUCUUUGUGUUAUAUGUGUUUAUCACUGAUUAUUUCCUUCUUCUUGUUUGCCCAAGGAAUUUUCUUAGUCUCUCUGCGUUAAUCCGAUUUUCGGAUGUGCUGUUGCGAAAUUUUCAGACAAUGAAUAAUCUAUCACCAUCAACUUUUAAUGCUGAUCAGCCAACUACUGAUUCAUUCACACUUUUUGGUCAUAGAAUUGCAUCAGUGGUUCCAAAUUGUAAUAUUGCAAUUACUGAUGAUGCUUCAGUAAUAUUUGAAAAUAUUUUGCGGUUAUAUGUUUUGGUAAAAGUUUUUGGAUUAUGGAAAAUUUUCUUUCUUGCUAAUUGAUAAUAUUAGUAGAUUGACAUAAGAUUUGUUCUAACUAUAUUAUUUUAAAAAUUAAUUUCAGAUUCUACUAAUGACAAUGAGUCUGAGCUAGUCAGCAAUCAUUCCUCGACCUCAAAGAAAAAUAAGUUAUUAAACAACAUGAAUUAGUUUAGCAAUUAAAACACAUGAAAACCAUAGAAACUUGAAGCUCUGUUGAAACCGAAGAAACUCCAGGCUCUGUAGAUGAUGAAAUCGGGAACAUGCCUAACAGAAUAAGAAGUAUAGAAUUUGAAAAUAUGAAAACCCUAAUCAUAACAUGAAGAAAUCUGGAACCUAGAAUUCGAUGUAUGAAGUGAAAUAACAAGAAACUUAUUUUAAUUAGUCAAUAUCUCUAUUUAGAAAUACUUUGACAGGAAAUGGUUUCGCAGAAGAACUGGCAAGCGUAACCGAGUAAGAUGAUGAAGAAGAUGAAGUACGGUAAAAUCAAAACGCAAUAAGAAGAUGAAGAACGCUAGAAUUUAAAUAAAGAAUGAAAUAUAUGAAACUUACUUCAAGUAAACUUUUGCGUUGACAAUCUUGUUGACCUUUUAAACGUAAAUGUUGUUUAGGGUUGAUUUUAGUAAACCCUAACCCGCUAAGCCUUAAACCGGUUAACCCUAUACCGGAAAAUUGUAAACCGGUCAAGUGUUAAUGGGUAAACGGUAAAGGCGUUGUAGAAGGUAAACGGUUACUGCUAGAACUUGUAAUCGGUAACCUGUAGACGGUUCGGUAACUCAUGGAUUAACCGUAAGUGGUGUAAAAGGUAAUCGUACAGAAUAUAAACAAUCCAAUCCAAUCCAAAAACCUAAAUUUAAAAAUAAAUAAGUAUAAAAAAGAGAGAAGUACCAUCGAAGAUCAUAUUCCAAUGUUGGAAAACUCCACCACCGCUAUUAUGCCUCUUUUGGAUAGCACUCUCCGGAUACUUGACGACUCUCAGUCCCUCUGGACUUCGAGGUCAUUACCAAUGCCAUGAUCACUCUUGAAGUACAAGAAAAAGAAUUUGAUGUAGAUGGGUGGAGGACGGUUCCGAAUUCGGACAUAGCAUUUGCAAUUUUUUAGAAUUUCCGCGGUGGAGUACUGUGGAGCUGUCAAUUGUGAAUCGAAACUCUUAAACUAGGUAAAGCAAACUUAAAACCCUAAAACGAAAACUCAAUCGAAUGGAUGAAAACAUUUUGUCGCAGCUUGAAUAUAAAACACGGAGUAUAAAUCUAAUGGAUGAAUAAGAGGUUGAACCAUGGAAUAUUCAAUUAUUUGAAACAAAGAUAAUGAGUAAAACAAACGGGAAGUUGAAGAAAUGGUCGAUAACGAGAAAAUCCAUAAUUUUGAUUGAAUCAAAUAAACUAAUGAAAGUUUUAAAACGUUUGAAAACUAGUAGACCUAGUGAACGUUUGAAAACCCAUAAAGAAAUUGAGAGGUUAUUUGUAAUGGAAAAGAUGGCGGCUGAAAGAAAGUGAAAGGACGAAAGAACCAAGUCGUGGAAGACCUCGACGAAACCCAAUGACGGUAAAGUGUAGACGAAAGUGAAACCGUGGGGCGACUGAAAGAAAGGACUACAAACCGAGUCGUGGAAGACCUCGAUGAAACCCAAUGACGGUAAAGUGUAGACGAAAUCCCAACGACGAAAUCCCAACGACGAAAUCCCAACGACGAAAACCCAACGACGAAAUCCCAUUCACUGUCUAAAGUGUAGACCGGUGAAAUCCCAUUUUUGAGCGAAUUUCGAAGUCCGUUAAACGAUAAACCCUAAACCGGUUAAGUCUUAAUGGGUAACCGGUAAGUAAUGGAAACGGUAAGAGGGAAAACGGUGAAGAGGGGGAAAAACGCUAAACGGUAAAGAAAUCCCCAAAACAAAUCUAAUCGAAACCCUAGAACUAGUAAAAUCAAAUUUGAAAUCCUACAAUGAAAUGAAACCAUUGUCCAGAGAACGGAAAUGCAGCAAAACGAGACGAAAUGAAAGCCAUCGUGAAAGUGAACCGCGAAGAUGAAAGUGCACUCGAAGAAAGCGAUAACGAAAGGAAAGUGAAAACCCAUUGAUAACUCAUUGAAAGCGAAAUUCAUUGAAAACCCAUCGGGAUAGGGAACACCCAAAAUGAAAGAGAAGAUGAAAAAAACAUGACCGAUUGGAUGAAGGAACCGUGGAGCACCGAAGGAACAGAACUGGAAGAUGUGGAACGAAGAUGAAAACAGAAACCUUCAAACGAAACCCCUAAAACAAAGCGAACUAGAACCUACAACUGACCUACACAAACAAGGCAACACAAAAGUAGGACUUAUAACUGACAACUAAUGUAAACCUGACCUAUGAAUUCUAACUUAAAACGAAUCCUAAAACAAAGUUAAUGACAGAAAUAAUUAAAAUCCGACGAAUUAUUUAUCAGACCAUGGAUUCCUCAUCCGACGGAGGAGCAGGAGUGUGCACACCGUGUGCAGUGCACACCUGAUCCAAAUUGUAUAGUUAUAUACCGUCUCUUUUGGAGUUUUGAAAUCAUUUUUUU
rnacentral:lncRNA from 1 species